AAAGAUCCUAGCCUGUUGCUUCAUGUGAUAAUGUAAGGCCCUUCCCAGGUUUCUUGCAGCAUCCCGAGGUUCUCUCAGCUCUAAAGGGUCUCACACGGGUGGCUAAUUUUUGACCCAAGAUAAAAGGGGGGCCUUUAGUCCCGAUUGGUAUUUAACUUAGGACUAAAGCCUCAUUUAUUCCGGGCCAACUUUAAACAAGAACAAAAGGGGAUGGAUGGAAAGUCAG
rnacentral:lncRNA from 1 species